rfam:Janthinobacterium sp. HH01 Jab_2c, whole genome shotgun sequence.
CUUCCUCGAUCUGCUGCGGGCAGAUGAAGUGGAUGUGCGUGUCGACACCGCCGGCCGUGACGAUCAUGCCUUCGCCGGCGAUGAUCUCGGUGGCGCCGCCGAUGGCCAUCGUCACAUUCGGCUGGAUAUCCGGAUUGCCGGCCUUGCCGAUGGCGGCGAUCAUGCCGCUUUUCAGGCCGAUGUCCGCCUUGACGAUGCCCCAGUGGUCGACGAUCACCGCGUUGGUGAUCACCGUGUCCAUCACGUCGGCGGCCACGCGCUGCGACUGGCCCAUGCCGUCGCGGAU